rnacentral:lncRNA from 1 species
GGAUUUAGCCCUUGAAGCAGCCUGGUUCUUCCAGAGGGGUGUUACGCUUUGUGGCUCUUUGGCCCCAUCUUAUGGACAACAGUAUUAUAAAUCGGAGAUGGACGAUGGUCCUGCAGAGCAGGUGCCCCAGAAGUUUGAUUUCUUAUUAUAAAGUCAAAGUGUAAUGAUGACUCGGUUUCUCCCAGACUACAUUCAGGAAUACCCUUAGAGUUCACCGAUGUUCAGAAAAUCAGUGGCGAGUAUGGAAAUCUUACAUGUGAACAUGUGAACAGAACCGUUGCGCAUGGUAACUCGAAGACUGUGUUCUUGACCCUGGAACUAAGAAUACGCUAAGCAAAUGUUUUGCCAUGGAGUCAUACCCAGCUCUGUAAUGUGUUCUUGGAAAAUGCUAAGGAACCCGUGUGUUACAUGUUCUCGCCACAAAUAGAAAGCAACACAAGGCACACUAUAUAUGUUAAUUAGCCAGGUGAGUCACGCCACAAGAUACUCUUUAAAACAUUAUGUUACAGGCAGCAGGUACAUUCAGUUUUGUAAAACAAAGAUGAUGACGGUUUUUCUCAUGAGGCACAGGAAUCAAACACAAGAAUUAAAGAAGGAGCUGCCCAGUGGUCUGUCUCAUUUACAAGUCUGCAGUCCUCAUCAUCCCGAUAUUGUCUUAUCUCUUUCAAGAGACUGGGGUCAUAUUAAUGGGUGGGACGAUUGCAGUCCCGUGAGGGCAGGAACCGAUGGACUUCAGACUGUCUGUCCCCUGAUGGCCAGCAAGAUCGAAGCAUCAAAAUCCCAGAGGAAAACUCUGCAGAAAGACGCAGCAGUGGCUUAGCCAUGUACUUUCAGGGAAGCUACAAUCUUACAUGAUGAUGGAGGUUUGAGAUAACAUACAAGCUGCCUCACCAUCUCCGUGGCCCGGGAGCUGCGAGGACAACAGGUGACUAAAACGCAGGAGGCGGUUUCACAGAGCAAGGGUCUCUCCUCCGAAUGGAAGGUGUGCAGGACAAAGCAGCAGGAACCAGGAUGGAGGUGAGAGGCCAGGGUUUUCUUGUACCAGGGGCUGUAGCUUCCUGAUGUGUGACAUCAAUCACCCUUGGUUUAGGGGUAUGAAGAAGAGAUGGUGUUCUCAAGUACCCACACAGCGGGACUAUGGAAUUUUCUGAAAAAGCACAGCAGGGAUGGGCAGAAGCCCUCAGGCUGGAAAUAUGAACAGUCUAAUGCCAGGAUAGUGACUACAGGCCCCGAGAGGGUACUGAGCACGAAAGACUUGCAGCAUUAGAACCACAGGGCCCUCAGCACUCAAGCCCUCAAAGAAGUGAUGUGCAGAGUGUGAAGACUUAGUCCAACUCACCAGCCCCAGAGCCUGGCCUGCUGCUUCUCUUUACUGUGAAAACAGUGUGACCCCUUGGUCUAAGCAUCCCUGACUAUAGGAAGUCACUAUAGGAAAAACUAACUCAAUAUUUGUUAGGUUCUCUUUGAUCCUUUUGACCUUGGGCCUUGUGGUUUUGUUCCCUCCCCGUCCGAGGAAGCAUUAAAAUAAAGGCUGACGCGUGAAUCCGAUUGAUGUGGGUAAAUCAGUGGUUAAUCAAAUUAAGAUCAUUUCUCCCCUGAAAGCAUGGCUCGGAUAAUUUGCAAUUAUAUCCAAGAGGGUAUUAGACAAUUAGUGCAAGCAAGCUUAAAAUCACGCUCUUUGAGAUCAAAUGCACAAGGCUGCUUCCUUGCCAGGGUCCUGUCCAGUGUUGUAUUUUACUCAGUUCUCAUCAUCUGAUGUUAGCAGCAAAGCGCCACAAGACUGGGAAAUGCAACAGUGCAGCCAUCU